UGGUAGUCCACGCNGUAAACGCUGAGUGCUAGGUGUUAGGUCCUUUCCGGGACUUAGUGCCGACGCUAACGCAUUAAGCACUCCGCCUGGGGAGUACGACCGCAAGGUUGAAACUCAAAGGAAUUGACGGGGGCCCGCACAAGCGGUGGAGCAUGUGGUUUAAUUCGAAGCAACGCGAAGAACCUUACCAGGUCUUGACAUCCCGAUGCCCGCUCUAGAGAUAGAGUUUUACUUUUUGUACAUCGGAGACAGGUGGUGCAUGGUUGUCGUCAGCUCGUGUCGUGAGAUGUUGGGUUAANNNNNNCAACGAGCGCAACCCUUAUUGUUAGUUGCCAUCAUUAAGUUGGGCACUCUAGCGAGACUGCCGGUAAUAAACCGGAGGAAGGUGGGGAUGACGUCAAAUCAUCAUGCCCCUUAUGACCUGGGCUACACACGUGCUACAAUGGUUGGUACAACGAGUCGCAAGCCGGUGACGGCAAGCUAAUCUCUGAAAGCCAAUCUCAGUUCGGAUUGUAGGCUGCAACUCGCCUACAUGAAGUCGGAAUCGCUAAUAAUCGCGGAUCAGCACGCCGCGGUGAAUACGUUCCCGGGCCUUGUNC
rnacentral:rRNA from 1 species